AGAGUUUGAUCAUGGCUCAGGAAUAACGCUGGCGGCGUGCCUAAAACAUGCAAGUCGAACGGGCGUGCCCGGUGGAUGCCGGGAACUACACGCUAGUGGCAAACGAGUGAGUAACACGUAGAUGACCUACCUCAAAGUUUGGAAUAAGCUCUCGAAAGAGAGUCUAAUACCAGAUGUGGUCGCUUGAUUACGAUCAAGCGAUUAAAGCUUUAGCGCUUUGAGAGGGGUCUGCGGCCUAUCAGCUUGUUGGCGGGGUAAAAGCCCGCCAAGGCUAUGACGGGUAGCCGGCCCGAGAGGGCGAUCGGCCACGAUGGAACUGAGAUACGGUCCAUACUCCUACGGGAGGCAGCAGUUGGGAAUAGUUCGCAAUGGGGGAAACCCUGGCGACGCGACGCCGCGUGUGGGAUGAAGUCCUUCGGGAUGUAAACCACUUUUCUGCAGGAAAAAGAUCUGAUGGUACUGCAGGAAUAAGAGGUUGCUAACUCUGUGCCAGCAGCAGCGGUAAUACAGAGACCUCGAGCGUUUUCCGGAAUCAUUGGGCGUAGAGCGUUCGUAAACGGUUUUAUAAGUCGGGCUUAAAAUCCCGUGGCUUAACCACGGAUCUGGGUUCGAUACUGUAAAACUUGAGGAUUGGAGAGGCUGAUGGAAUUCCCGGUGUAGCAGUGAAAUGCGUUAAUAUCGGGAAGAACACCAAUAGCGCAAGCAUUCAGCUGGCCAAUUCCUGACGUCCAGGAACGAAAGCGUGGGGAGCAAACGGGAUUAGAUACCCCGGUAGUCCACGCUGUAAACGAUGGGUACUAGGCUUGGGAGCUUCGACAGUUUCCGAGUCGUAGCUAACGCGUUAAGUACCUCGCCUGGGAAGUACGGCCGCAAGGCUAAAACUCAAAGGAAUUGACGGGAGCCCGCACAAGCGGUGGAGCAUGUGGUUUAAUUCGAUACAGAGCGAAGAACCUUACCUGGGUUUGAUAUCUAGCUGCACGCCUCUAGAAAUAGAGGAAGCCUUCGAGGGUGCUAGACAGGUGUUGCAUGGUUGUCGUCAGCUCGUGGCGUGAGCUGUUGGGUUAAGUCCCGCAACGAGCGCAACCCUUGCCUCGUGUUGAAAUCUCACGAGGGACUGCCGGCGUACAGUCGGAGGAAGGUGGGGAUGACGUCAAAUCAGCAUGGCCCUUAUGCCCAGGGCUACACGCAUGCUACAAUGGUCAGUACAAAGGGAUGCCAAGUCGUAAGACGGAGCGAAUCCCAUCAAAACUGGCCCCAGUUCGGAUUGAGGGCUGCAACUCGCCCUCAUGAAGUUGGAAUCGCUAGUAACCGUGAAUCAGCAACGUCACGGUGAAUACGUUCUCGGGCUUUGUACACACCGCCCGUCAAGUCAAGAAAGCUAGCAACACUCGAAGUCGCACUUGUGCGCCUAAGGUGGGGCUAGUGAUCGGGGCUAAGUCGUAACAAGGUAACC
rnacentral:rRNA from 1 species